GGCGGCGACGACGGCCCGGCGGACACACCCGAUCCCAUCCCGAACUCGGAAGUUAAGCGCCGCGGCGGCGAAAAUACCCCUCGGGGCAAGAUAGCUCGUCGCCGCUU
rnacentral:rRNA from 1 species